UGAGAAUGUGCCUUCGGGAACCGUGAGACAGGUGCUGCAUGGCUGUCGUCAGCUCGUGUUGUGAAAUGUUGGGUUAAGUCCCGCAACGAGCGCAACCCUUAUCCUUUGUUGCCAGCGGUCCGGCCGGGAACUCAAAGGAGACUGCCAGUGAUAAACUGGAGGAAGGUGGGGAUGACGUCAAGUCAUCAUGGCCCUUACGACCAGGGCUACACACGUGCUACAAUGGCGCAUACAAAGAGAAGCGACCUCGCGAGAGCAAGCGGACCUCAUAAAGUGCGUCGUAGUCCGGAUUGGAGUCUGCAACUCGACUCCAUGAAGUCGGAAUCGCUAGUAAUCGUGGAUCAGAAUGCCACGGUGAAUACGUUCCCGGGCCUUGUACACACCGCCCGUCACACCAUGGGAGUGGGUUGCAAAAGAAGUAGGUAGCUUAACCUUCGGGAGGGCGCUUACCACUUUGUGAUUCAUGACUGGGGUGAAGUCGUAACAAGGUAACCGUAGGGGAACCUGCGGUUGGAUCACCUCCUUACCUUAAAGAAGC
rnacentral:rRNA from 2 species